rnacentral:rRNA from 1 species
AUUGAACGCUGGCGGCAUGCCUUACACAUGCAAGUCGAGCGAGCGGCGGACGGGUGAGUACUGUCUGGGAAACUGCCUGAUGGAGGGGGAUCACUACUGGAAACGGUAGCUAAUACCGCAUACCAUCAGAUGUGCCCAGGUUGGAUUAGCUAGUGGGUGGGGUAACGGCUCACCAAGGCGACGAUCCCUAGCUGGUCUGCGAGGAUGAUCAGCCACACUGGAACUGAGACACGGUCCAGACUCCUACGGGAGGCAGCAGUGGGGAAUAUUGCACAAUGGGCGAAAGCCUGAUGCAGCCAUGCCGCGUGUGUGAAGAAGGCCUUCGGGUUGUAAAGCACUUUCAGCUGGGAGGCGUUACCGACAGAAGAAGCACCGGCUAACUCCGUGCCAGCAGCCGCGGUAAUAC